rnacentral:sRNA from 1 species
UACCAGUCCGCUCCGAGCCCCGGCCGCCUGUCCGUCGAUGCACCGAAAAGAGCACCUGGGUGCUGUGGAAGGUCCCCAGGCUACAGGGUGCAGAGAUGUCCACUGGGCACAUGCUGACAGAUCCUUCAAAAAAUGGUACUUAAAGAAGAUUAGAUCAACAUUUCUGGGAAAAGCAUCUCUUUUGCCUUCUCAUUGGUUCAGUAAACCCAGUUAAAGGCAAAGUUUGCAGCCCUCAGAGCCUGCCAUGGGAUUCCUGUAUCAUUAGAUAUUGUUAACAUUAGCACUUCUAGAGUGUUAUUUCACAGACAUGGUUUCAAUGUCCAGAACCAAAAGGUGGAGAAAUGGUGUCAGAUAACCUUAGAGAGGAUCAUUUUCUUGGUAAUCUCUCCUUUCUUAAAAUAAACUAUAUAUUGCUGACAAUGUGAAACUUGUGACUAACCUUCAGUAGAUAUGUUGAUUUUGCUUUUAAAAUAAAAACCAAGGAUGCUUAGAAGUAGUCAUAAGAGGAAAUAUUUUGAAAAUGAAUGACCUAAAAUAAUCAAUGGAUAUGUAUAACCUUUAUAUUUUAAAAUGACAAUCACU